rnacentral:rRNA from 1 species
UAGAUGCGAGAGUAGAGCAUAUCAAUAAGCGGAGGAAAAGAAACUAACAAGGAUUCCCCUAGUAACGGCGAGUGAAGCGGGAAGAGUUCAAAUUUGAAAUCUUAAAGGGUUUCCCUUUACGAAUUGUAGUUUAAAGAAGUGUUUUCUGUUGGAGUUUCGGUAAAAGUUCUUUGGAAUAGGACAUCAUAGAGGGUGAGAAUCCCGUAUUUGACCGUUACUUUCCAGCUGUGUGAUACACUUUCAAAGAGUCGGAUUGUUUGGGAAUGCAGUCCAAAAUGGGUGGUAAAUUUCAUCUAAAGCUAAAUAUUGGCGAGAGACCGAUAGCGAACAAGUACCGUGAGGGAAAGAUGAAAAGAACUUUGAAAAGAGAGUUAAACAGUACGUGAAAUUGUCAAAAGGGAAGCGUUUGACACCAGUGUUGUUUUUCCGAAAAUCAAUUACGAAUGUUUUGUUUUUAAGGAGUUAUGACUUCAUCGGCUUGCUUCCUUUCUUUAUCGAAACUUUCUUAAUGCACUUUUCGGUUAACAAGUCAACAUCAAUUUCUUUUGUUGUAAAAGGGUAUGAGGAAGGUGGCUUUCUUUUCGGAGAAAGUGUUUAUAGCCUUGUACCUCUGCAAUCGGAGAGAUUGAGGUCUGCAGCGUAGAUCCUUCGGGGUUAGAUAGCAUUUGUGCUAAGUUAUAGCUUUUCAUAGACAACUUGUUGACUAUGAUUUAGUCAUUGUAGCUUACUCGCUUAUGUCUAUUUUACCUACGCUUAGGAUGUUGACACACGCGCGUGCUCG